rnacentral:rRNA from 1 species
UACGGAGGGUGCGAGCGUUAAUCGGAAUUACUGGGCGUAAAGGGUGCGUAGGUGGUUUUGGAAGUUAUCUGUAAAAUCCCUGGGCUCAACCUAGGAAGGUCAGAUAAUACUAUGAGACUCGAGUAUAGGAGAGGGUAGUGGAAUUUCCGGUGUAGCGGUGAAAUGCGUAGAUAUCGGAAGGAACACCGGUGGCGAAGGCGGCUACCUGGCCUAAUACUGACACUGAGGCACGAAAGCGUGGGGAGCAAACAGG